ensembl:lncRNA
GUCGCGCAGACCUUUUCAGCAGGUCAGUCCUAAAAAUUCCCAAUUUAAAAUCCUUUCGGCGGAUUGGUCCAUAAGCUUUUAUUUUGAAAAUCCGUGCAGUGGAUUAGACUAAUUACAUCCUUUCGGAUAAGACCUAGGUUCGUUUUACGCGAGUGUAAGUGAGUGGUUUCUUUACCUUCCCAAGAUUCUCUGGCUAUGUUGAAAGUCAGCCACUGGAUCCCAGCGUCGUGGACCACUUAAUGACACUGGCCAGAACCCGAAUUUCACGUCUCUGGACUUUCACUCCGAAGAGGCUGUCGACAGACUUCAGUGCAAGAUCUCCACGAUGCCAGAAUACAGCGGCCGAUGCUUCCUAUCCGGCUCUGAGGACCAAGAAAAUGUGAAGAGAAAGUUGCUAGAAGGCAAAGAAACUCAAACUCAAGAUAUCUUUUUCAUGCAUACAUGGACAAUCCCCCCUCAUCGCCCGAUCCAUCCUGCAGCAAUGUGUGCAGGACAGAUGUGACAGAGAGGAAAGACCGCCCAGGGCUUUCAGAGCUUUCUUUCUUUAUACUUAAGCAAGUUUUCAAGGAAGUAGGAGUGGCAUGUUCAGAAUAUAAAACAUUUCCAUAAAAGGAGAGACUGUUCGCUUGUCAGCUGAAACAGGAGAUAACUUGUUCAGGUUUCAGCAGGCUGAAGCGAGUCCGGAUCUGAUGUUUCAGGAACAACUCUGCUGGUGUACGACCCGUCACAGUGUGCGGUGUACUGCGAUACAUGAUAAGGAAGUUUGCCAAACGAUGACUGAGUGGCAAUGUGGCCUUACCAUCUGCUUCCAGCACAUUUUUCAUCAGGGAUCGUUUCAGGAUUUGUACUGACCUCUCUGCUGCCCCCGUUUGAUGCAGGAUGAUAGGCAGGAACAGCUGUGUGUCCGAUCCCAUUUAACUCCACGGUGUGCUCCAGACCUUGCUGAGGAUUGGAUCCUUCAUGGUUGCUCUCUCAAUGUCUUUAGCUACUAUUGGUAGCUCUUCCACAUGUGAGAAAUAGAAGAUACUUCCCUCCUCGGCAAUGUUUUCUGGCGUAUUCCGAGGUAGACGUGACAAUGCAUCUGCAUUAGCAUGUUCAGCUGAUCUUCUAUAUUCAAUGUCAUAGUUGUAUGCCAUUAGGAUAAGAGCCCAGCGUUGCAUUCUUAGUGCAGCGAGUGUUGGGACAGCUGACUUUGGCCCUAGUAUAGCCAGCAGUGGCUUAUGAUCUGUGGAGGGUGAAUUUCCUUCCAUACAGAUAUUUAUGGAAUUUCUUUACUCCAAAACUUAUGGCAAGGGUUAGGGUUUUCUAUCUGGGCAUACUUUUGCUCAGCUUCAGUUAAUGUUCUUGAUGCAAAAGCCACAGGCCUUUCCUCUCCAUUUUCCAUGACAUGAGAGAUGACUGCGCCCAAUCCAUAAGGUGAUGCAUUGCAGGCUAACUUCAAUGGCAGAUUUGUGCUGUAGUGCACCAACACUUUGUUCUGCAGCAGUAGACUUUUUGCAUCCCUGAAUGCUUUUGCACAUUCCAUGGUCCAAAUCCAUUUACGGUAGCAUCUUUUCUCAACAGGUUAUGCAAAGGCUGAAGAAUGGUGGAUGGAUUUUCCAAAAAUCGACUGUAGUAAUUUAGAAGACCAAGAAAGGACUUCAGUUCAGUGACGUUUGUUGGUUCUGGUGCAUUUGCUAUGGCUGCUACCUUUUCCUCUAAAGGAUGCAGACCAUCCCUGUCAAUACGAUGUCCCAGGUACUCCACACUGCUCUGAAGAAAGUGGCACUUGGAAAGCUUCACUCUGACACCAUGCUUCUCCAGACGUGUGAGUACUUCCUCCAACCUCUUCAAAUGACCCCUUUCAGAUGAAGCAGUGAUGAGGAUGUCAUCCAAAAAGCAGGUGACAUGCUCCAUCCCCUGAAGGAUUUGAUCCAUCACAGACUGGAAAAGAGCCGGAGCACUGGAAACACCAUAGCUGAGGCGAUUGUACUUAUAGAGACCUUUGUGUGUGUUUAAGCAUAUUUGCACUGCAGAAGACAUAAUGUGGAUUGCACAACACUGGACAUUAUAUUCUUCAUUUCCAGUUAAUACUUGUACAACUGCUGUUAUUGUGUAUAUAUUUAUUUAUAUUUCUUCAUACAUUCUUAUAUAGUUCUAUAUUGUGUAUUUUGUUGUACAGUUAUUUUAUUUUCAACUUUAAUUUAUAUAUUUUAUCUUAUUCUUUCCCAGUUAAAUUUACCCUUCAUUCUAAUUUGUGUUGUACAGUUAUUUCCUUUUUAACCUUAAUUUAUAUUUUAUUCCUUCCUAGUAAAAUUUACCCUUUUUAAUUUUUCAUAUUUAUUUCCUAUCUUAUUCAUAGCCUUUUCCUUUUUUUGUUUUCUUUAGGUCACGAGCAGUUGUCCAAGCAUUUCACUACAUAUCAUACUGUGUAUGACUGUGUACGUGACAAAUAAAAUUUGAAUUUGAAAUUUGAUGCCCAGAUACUUCUCUGAUUCUUCAUCUAACUGUAGCUGCUGAUAGGCAUGAGAAAGGUCAAGUUUACUGAAGGAUGUUCCUCCAGCUAAAGUAGCAAACAAAUCUUCAGUAUUUGGAAGUGGAUAUCUUUCCUCUUCAACACACUGGUUGACACUGACUUUGUAGUCACCACAUAUCCUAAUUGUUUUGUCUGCUUUUGGCACAGUAACAAUAGGGGAUGCCCACUCACUUUUCUCAACCUUUGAAAUAACCUUCACCUUUUCCAAUCUGUCCAGCUCCUUUUCCACAGCUUCUUUUAGUGCAUAAGGAAC